GACGUAGGUGGCAAGCGUUACUCGGAAUUACUAGGCGUAAAGCGCACGUAGGCGGAAAUUUAAGUCUGUUGUGUAAUCUCCGGGCUCAACCCGGAAACUGCAACGGAAACUGGGUUUCUUGAGUGAGGCAGAGGAAGACGGAAUUCCUGGUGUAGCAGUGAAAUGCGUAGAUAUCAGGAGGAACACCGGUGGCGAAGGCGGUCUUCUGGGCCUUUACUGACGCUAAAGUACGAAAGCUAGGGGAGCAA
rnacentral:rRNA from 1 species